CCUGACUCUUUCUCCAUGUCUCCAAGGCUGACUGUGGUUUGUGCAAGAAUAAACUGCCUGAGCCUUCGCUGACAUCUGAGGCCUUGACUCGUAAGAUGCUGCCGUGAGCCCUAGGUCCUCCUCUCUGGGCUCUGCAUCGCUGCAGAGUGAGCACGAGCUCACUGGGAAAGGGCACCUUCCCGGCGGGUUCUUCAUUCUUUCCAGGGAAGGCACAGGGCCACCUUCGCUCCCAGAUCCAGAUCCACCAGGGACUGACUCCCGUGUGUCUGUGGAUGAACACUACACCAUUUGCUCCAUUUUCUGAGAAUUUCUCAGUGGAUGCUUUAAAAACCAAGGAUGAAUUCAGCAUCUCUAUUUUAUGUGGAAGCUGUUCUCAGCAUCAUUUGUUUUCUUACUUGGGUGGAAAAGAUAGCUGGGUAGGUGUUUUCCUCCCAGGGCCUUCUGAAGAGUUUAAAAACAGAGACUUUGGGUGUUGAAUGAAAGGUCCCUAUUCUUUCCUAAAAUACUCACAGAAUCCCAUGACUAAUAUAUAAAUAAAGAUUGUUGUAUUAGUCACCCAACAAUGAAAGAAGAAAUCCUCCCACUUCUCAAAUGCUUCCUUUCAGAGUAACCUCAAUGACCUGACUGAUUCAUGGAACUAAUUUGUAACAAUAAUAAAGAUGAAGCGGGACCCCAGACAAGCUUUCAGAACUCCUCCAAAGACCCUCACUGCCUCAUCCCGCUCUCCCGUUCCUCGGCCUGCAGCUGAUGCCUUUGAGGAAGCCCCUGUUUGUACUGACAGUGGCCCAGAAACCUCUUCCCCUUGCUCAGACAAUUGCCCAUGUGGCCGCUGCCAACUUGGGGCUUCCUGGACUUCACAAACUCAGGAGGUCUGAGCUCAGUGACACCCUGCAUCGCCCCUGCUCCCUGGGCUCCUGCCCUGAACCACAGCUCCCUGCUUGAUGAAGAAGGGUCAGCCACCUCAAGGUUCACUUCCGGGCAGAGGCCACAUCUGUUAGGAAAGAAAAUAGAUGAAAAGCAUAGUUAGCAAGUGCCUGCUGUUGGCCAGGCACCGAGCUAGGAGGUGUCUUAUUCCUGUGUCAUCUUAUUUCAUCAUGUAAAUGGCCCUGUGAGGCAGAGAUGGUUGUUUGAAUUAUACAGAAGGAGAAACACAGAGUCAGAAAGAUGAAGAAACUUGCUGAAGAUUGUAUUGUGUUCCAGUGGUCUCCAAACUGGGCCUCCCCUGCAGCUAGGUAAGAUCAUGUAAUGGAAUUCUGGCCAAUGGAAUAUGAGUGGAGUUAAUGUGGGUAACCUCCAUGAUGGGCAAAGAAACACCUCCCAGGAAAAAGUCUUGAUUUUUCCUCAUGUCUGCUGACUACAUAUCGACUCUUGAAUAGACUUGAGUAUCUGCUGUUGAAGGAUGCAGAGGCUCUGUCAGCCUGGGCCCCUGAGUGACUUCAUGGAGUAUACCAUCUCUCCAACUGGAUUUUAUCUUUCAGUGGUUCAGUUUUUCUCCACUGUUUCCACCAAAAUACCAUCAACAGUAAGGAAGAACAAUGUGGACCACCAGAAGGCUGGAGUGUUUUCUGAAGCUGCUCCUGCUUGGACUUUGGUUGGAAGUCGUGAUUGUCUGAGGGUUCAUGCUGGCGCUCCCCCAGUGAACCUAGCUCACCUACCCUCUGCUCUGGCUCUAGUCUCUCUUCCCUUCUUCUAAGGGAGGCUACUGCUGUGCUCAGUGCGGAGCUGGGUUCAAGGAGAGCUGGGGCUCUGAAGGAGUCGUGGGGAGAAGGCUGACAUGAGUCCUGAGUGAGUGGACCUGCUCUCUCUGGCCCUGAAGGGGUCAAGAGGCAACUGGGUGUGUGGGCUGAGUCUUUCCUGGCCCUGAAGCUGGAAGUAGAGGCUUUGUGCAGGAUCCUCAGCAGGGGACUAAAAGCCUGUGCUUUCAUAACCCGAGCCACACUGGCAAGUGCGCUGCCUCCUCCCACCUUUGAGACAGUUGCCUUCAGGAGCACAUCUACCAGAAGCCAACAAAGAAAAGCAACAGCCUCUUGGAGGGGCCUUUCUCCAGGGAGAGAAGGGUGAGGCAGCACAGGCAGAGCUGGUGUAGGAGACACAAGACAGUAUGAAUUUCAAAAUCAGAGCAUUGAAGGAGAUUCAAAUAUGGCACAAAAAGAGUUUCUGGAGCUAAAAAUCAUAAUUUCCUAACUAAAUACCAUUCAGUAGAUUAACUGAAAAAGUGGAAGAUCACCGUGAAGAUAUGGUCAGCUCUCCUGGAGGGUCAAAGGGCAGACAGACCCCUUGAUGAAAAGGGUGGUAUAGAGCAAAUGUAGAAAGAGAUGGGAAGCAAGUAGAAAUGGGUAAGGAACAUGGGAUGGAUCCUAAAACCUUGACUUGUGAAUAGAGAAACCUUGACUUGCAGAAAGAGGAAAAAAUAGAACCAACGGAGGAGAGGUGACCAUGAUACUAACAAUAAAAGAAAACUUCCCUGAACUGAAGCAAACCUGAGCCUCUGUUUUUUUUGUUUUCAAAUUUAAUACACUAUUUUUAAGAGAAGUUUUAGAUUCACAACAAAAUCAAGCAGAAAAUAAAGAAUUCCCAUGUGCCCACCCUCCAUAGCUUCCCACCCUCCUUCCCACCCUCCAUAGCUUCCCACCCUCCUUCCCACCCUCCAUAGCUUCCCACCCUCCUUUCCACCCUCCAUAGCUUCCCAAACUAUCAACAUUUCUCACCAGCAUGAUACAUUUGUUAUAAUUGAUGAGCCUACAUUAACACAUCAUUAUCAAAGUUCCUUUACCCAGGGUUCCCUCUUGUUGUACGUUCUAUGUGGGUUUUAAGGAAUGUAUCCACCAUUAUAGUACCAUACAGAGUAGUUUCACUGCCCUAAAAAUCCCCUGCCCUCCCCCUACUCAGCCCUUCCUCCCCAGGUCCCUGGAAACCACUGAUCUUUUCACCAUCUCUAUAGCUUUGCCUUUUCCAGAGUGUCAUAUAGGUGGGACCACUCAGCAUGUAGCCUUUUCAGAUUGGCUUCUUUCACUUAGUAAUGUGCAUUUAAGGUUCUUCCACGUCUUUUUGGUGACUUGAUGGCUCAUUUCUGUU
rnacentral:lncRNA from 1 species